GGUGAUGCUUCUGAGAAGCCUGGUUGCUCUCAGUUUGCACACAGUGCUAUAGGCUGCUCUCAGAGGCCCUUGGUGGCUGAUGUUCCCACUGAACGUCUCAUGCGUACCAAGCCCACAAUCAAGUUAACUGCAAACACCUCGCUAAGGUGGCAGGGGGUUGAAGUUGUAUGUGUCAGCAUCGGGAACCGGGCCUUGCCUGCCUGCAGUCCGUGGCCAAGACAUAACUGCAUGGUGGACUUCCCAGGAAUAAUCCAUAACCCUUGAAUAAAUUUCUAAAAAUGUACCCUUUGUU